rnacentral:lncRNA from 1 species
AAAUUAGUCACCAUGGCCUGGUGGUAAAUUGCAUUGAUUGCAGUUCCAAGGUCAUGGGUUCAAGUCUCAUCUCAACCAUAAGUUUUCAAUUAAUUCAUAUUUUUCAUCAUUUAAUUAAAAAACGCUAAAUUCAUUGAGAUGGCAUUCAAGGACGUCGCAAACUAUUUGGGGAAUCUGCGACGGAAUAUGUAACGGAAUAGUUAUAGAUGGAAUAAAACCCUCGCUAAAUCCCUCACAAAACUACGUAAUGU